rnacentral:rRNA from 1 species
UACAGAGGUCUCAAGCGUUGUCCGGAUUUAUUGGGCGUAAAGAGCGUGUAGGCGGCCAGGUAGGUCUGCUGUGAAAACUCGAGGCUCAACCUCGAGAUGUCGGCGGAAACCAUCUGGCUAGAGUCCGGAAGAGGAGAGUGGAAUUCCUGGUGUAGCGGUGAAAUGCGCAGAUAUCAGGAAGAACACCCGUGGCGGAAGGCGGCUCUCUGGGACGGUACUGGACGCUGAGGUGCGAAAGCGUGGGGAGCAAACAGG